GGUUUAAUUCGAAGCAACGCGAAGNACCUUUACCAGGUCUUGACAUCCUUUGACCACUGUAGAGAUACAGCUUUCCCUUCGGGGACAAAGUGACAGGUGGUGCAUGGUUGUCGUCAGCUCGUGUCGUGAGAUGUUGGGUUAAGUCCCGCAACGAGCGCAACCCUUAUGACUAGUUGCCAGCAUUUAGUUGGGCACUCUAGUAAGACUGCCGGUGACAAACCGGAGGAAGGUGGGGAUGACGUCAAAUCAGCAUGCCCCUUAUGACCUGGGCUACACACGUGCUACAAUGGUCGGUACAACGAGUUGCGAACCCGCGAGGGUAAGCUAAUCUCUUAAAGCCGAUCUCAGUUCGGAUUGUAGGCUGCAACUCGCCUACAUGAAGCCGGAAUCGCUAGUAAUCGCGGAUCAGCACGCCGCGGUGAAUACGUUCCCGGGCCUUGUACACACCGCCCGUCACACCAUGAGAGUUUGUAACACCCGAAGUCGGUGGGGUAACCCUUUUAGGGAACUAGCCGCCUAAGGUGGGACAGAUGAUUGGGGUGAAGUCGUAACAAGGUAACC
rnacentral:rRNA from 1 species